UUGUCUUAAAACACCGAUAAAACAUUGGACUUUGGAAUGAAAGUACGAGUAAGAGAGAAAAAGGCAUAUGUACCAGGUCCUCAAUACUACUCAUAAAGAUAUCUUCUUCCUCUUUUCAUUUCUUUCUAAAAUGUAUAAUAUGGGAACUAGAGUCUGACUCUGGGCCAAGAUGACUCUCAGAUGAUUUUCUCUUCCCGUCAGUGCUGAGUCACCUCAGAGCGUCGUUACCCUUUGGCUCAUUAAUAGCCACCAUGCCCCCAAGUAUAGACAAGAAAAUGAUGCAUUUCCCAUCUCUCAACAAUCUCUUCCCUACUUAUUUUCUGAAGCCCUUUCCUAGGAAUUAAUGAAACCAGCUAUGCCACGAAGGAGUAGAAAAAGCUAUCAGCCUGGGAGGCCAAGGCAGGCGGAUCACAAGGUGCACUACAUCCUCCAGGAGGUGGUGAUGGGUGGGAUGGUGUUGGAAACAAACAUGAAUGAAAUCGUGGCUCAGAUUGAGGCUCAAAACAGGCUGGAGAAAUCCGAGGGUGGCCUUUCAGCAGCCCCUGCGCGGGCUGUGUCUGCUGUGAAAAA
rnacentral:lncRNA from 1 species